AAGGCCCGGUCAUUCUUUUCGUCCAUGGCUUCCCCGAGCUAUGGUACUCUUGGCGUCACCAGAUUUCUGCUUUGUCUUCUAAGGGUUACCGAGCUGUGGCCCCUGACCUGAGGGGCUACGGUGGCACGGAUGCUCCGGAUUCAGUCACCUGUUACACCUGUUUCCAUAUAGUGGGCGAUUUAGUUGAGCUUUUAAACACCAUCGCCCCUGACCAACAGGUGUUCGUGGUUGGCCAUGAUUGGGGAGCUAUCAUUGCUUGGUAUUUGUGCUUGUUCAGGCCAGACAAAGUGAAAGCUGUGUUCACCCUCAGUGUGCCCUUUACUCCACGUAAUCCACAAAUGAAGCCCACUGAUAGGUGGAGAGCUAUCUAUGGGAAUGAUUAUUACAUAUGUAGAUUCCAGGUAAAUCACAUUUUUUUAAUGUCUUUUAAACCACAAUUUGUAGUUCCCAGCAAGGCUUUCUGUUCAUUUCUUUCACAGUAUCCUAAGAAAUACAACUGAAACACAUUACAGGAACCUGGAGAAAUAGAAGCUGAGUUUGCAGAGAUGGGUACAGAGACCGUAAUGAAGGCAUUGCUAACAUACAGAGUUCCAGAUCCAUUAAUGUUACCCAAAGGGAAACCAUUCGGCCAUUCAGCAAAUACCCCAAUUACAUUGCCUUCUUGGUUAUCAGAGGAAGAAGUUAAUUACUAUGUCACUAAGUUUAACAAAAGCGGCUUCACUGGUGUGAUCAACUAUUACCGUAACUUUGAUCGGUAUUUAAUUCUUUUUCCAACUUUAAACACCCCCGUAAUAGGUGCUUUUUACCUUCUGUCUCAUGAUUUAACCUUACAUGUGUGUGUGUGUGCGCGCAGAAAUUGGGAACUGAUGGCACCAUGGGGUGGUUGUGAGGUAAAGGUAGCUGCCAAGUUCGUAGUGGGUGAUGUGGACCUGGUUUACCAUAUGCCCGGCAUGAAAGAAUACAUUCACAAUGGUGGAUUCAAGAAAGAUGUGCCAAUGUUAGAGGAAGUAGUGGUAAUGGAAGGAGUUGGGCACUUCAUCCACAUGGAAAAACCCGACGAGAUUAACAACCUCAUUUAUGACUUCUUCCAUCAGUUUGAUUAACAUUUUGUUUUAAAUCCUUGUCUGUCCCAUCUAUAUUUGUGUAAUAAAAUUUGGGUAGCUUAAGGACCUUAAUCAUCUGUGCAUGUAUCCAGCUGAUUUCGGGAACUGAUAUUUGAUCUUUCCACGCCCCCAGCAUCCUUGCCCGAAUGUUUUUAGAUAUAUAAUUGAAAUAUUUGUGUUCAGCAAAUAUUUGUAUACGAGAUUUAUAGCUUCUUUUCUUGAAACUUACAAUAAUAGUAUUGAGUAGAAGGUUCUUGAGAAGGAUGCACAAAUUUUUUUUUUUAUUAUAUAUGAUCAAUUUGCUGCUAUCGAUCUAUUACUAUACUAAGAUAGUUAAUAAGAUUUUUUUUUAAAUGAAGAUAAUUUAUAAGAUAGUUAAAUCAUAUAAUUACAGAAGGCGAAGAUAGAUAUAAUUUUUUGGUAAGAUUAAAGUAUAAUUUUUAUUAUUAUAUUAAUUUAUAAUUUUAUAAAUGUUAAAGGAAUUAAAAAAAAACAUAUUUACCCUUUUUUAAAGGGUAAGGCUAUUCCACCCCUUAUCUUCACCUCUAGUGUUACAAUUAUAUAAAAUAUUUAUAAAUUUUAUUUUAAAAUAAAUUUCGAAAAAUAUAUUAAACUAAUAAACUUCAGAGUAUAACUUAAACUUAUCUAGUAGCAUCAAAAUUAAAAAAGAAAAAGUUAAAAAGCCUUAAAAGCUCUUAAAAAAUGCAAUAAGGUCUAAAAUCAUGAUUUCCCAAACUUCCCAUGUUCACAACAUAAAGUCAAAACUUAUUAAAAUAUUAAAAGGAAUUAGUUCACUUGCUAAUUGUCUUUGUUGGGUUAAGUAAACACAAUUUUUUUAAAGUAUGUAAUUGCAAAAUUUAUAGGUAAUUUGUAAAAAAAAAACAAUUCAAACAACAUUCAAUGUCAAAAUUAUAAUAAAGACAAAUUCAUAAUUUGUAUAUAUAUAAAUAGAUAAAAAAUCAUCUCCUUUAGGAGCUAUGAUCAUCCUUAUCGUCGAUGAUAAAAUUUAAAACCACAAUUAACUCCAGUGACAAUGGGUUGAAACAAAAAUAAUAAUUAACACUAGUGGCAAUAGGACAAAAACCACUAUUCUAAACCAGUGGCAUGGCUUAAACCGAUUUUCAAGUACAAUAUUAUAUGUCGACAUGGCCAACAUUUAACCCCAUUGGUAGCAUUGGAACAUAGAAUAUCAGGAGUGCUAUACCACCUCUACCUUGGGACAUGUGGCAGCACAGAAGGCCACCCGAGAGACACCCCUCCGCUCACUACCAAUCGGCUAGUCGCCAGAAGAUUGAUGGCCUGAUUCCAACUAGCCUUUCAUCUUCCCCGAAAGGAUUCUUGUCAACCAUCCCUAUAAGGUUACUACCUGUAAGGAAUUUAUGUUUUUUGAAAGUUUGAAAAUGGAAAUAAAUCAUUUGAUCUUAGUGAACUGUUGAAUGUGGAAAUAUUAAAUAUACUUUCUCAUAGAUUCUUUUACGAUAAAGUCGUUAUGAUUUUAACAGAAUUAAAAUUGGGUUUAGAAAAUUAUUUAAUUGGAAAUAUAUUGAAGUUCAUUUUGGGAAAUAAAAAAAAUAAAUAUUUAGUUAGAUUGAAUUAUUGUAACACCCUUAACCCGUUUCCGUUGUCGGAUUAAGGUUACAAAGUAUUACAGUACAAUUCAGAUGAAUUAAAUUCAAACAAAAAAGAUUAGGUAAAUUAAAUAAUAACAUUCAAUAAUUCUAUUAAUCAAGGUAGAAACACAUUUAUGAGCCUUAAAUCGAGCUUACGGGGUCCUAAAAAUGGUUUGAGAACAUUACGGGAUAAAUUUGAAACAAAACAAAAAGUUUUGGAAAAACUUAAAAAUUUUGGAAAUAGGGGUCACACGGCCGCGUGACAUAACCCAGACAAUGUGGACAUCCUAAGUCUGGACACACGGCCGUGUCCCAGCCUGUGUGUCCGUCAGUGUGGUAUUCGAAAUAGAGUCACAUGGUAGUGUCGUAAGUCAUGUGCCAGACUGUGUUACAUACUAACUUGAGGCACACGACCAUAUCGUAGACCGUUUGAAACUUUGCACCUAAAACAAGAAUAGCACACGGCCGUAUGGGGUGACCGUGUGUGGCACAAGGUCGUGUGAUAGCCCAUGUCCCAGGUCGUAUGCCCUUAUUUGAACCUUCAAAAUCAAGUUUACCAAAAUAUGCAUACUUGGACAUCAAAUAACUCAUUUACCAUCAUUUAAAGCUAUUCAAAACACACUUAAAUAAGACCAAAACAUGCCAAAAUCAUUCAACCUAAAUGCCUAACCAAUGUGCUCUCAUUGACACCACAAUUCAAAUGUCCAAACAAGUUGCAUUUCAAAGUUACAUGAUCAUAUAUUAACACAUACCAAAUUUUUCAUUCAUCCACAAUAUCCAAUUCCAUUCCAAAAUAUGUUAGUCUUUCACUAAUAGUAUAAAACAAAAUGACCAAAUCACAUACUUAUGAACCUUUACAAGUUAAAACAUCAAAACAUAUAUAAGAUACCAAAAGUUCAUCCAAGACAAACAUCAUUCAAGUGUAACAAACACCACAAGUAACAAAUAACCAAAAUAUUUACAAACCACCUAUUACAUGCCAUAUAACCAAAAGUAAUCCUUCAAAAACUACCAAAAGAUAAUCGAAUAGUGUGGUUUCUUCAAAUUGACCCGAUCACACGAUUUCCACGAAAUGAUAUCUACAAGAAAAUUAGAUAAAUAACACGAGCAAGCUUUUAUAGAGUUUAGUAAAUUCGACGGUUAAAACGAUAAAACUUACCGUAGUAAACACAAUAAUUAUAAUAACAAGAGUAAAUAACAGUGGUUCCUAUCAACCACAAUCAUUAAUAGGUAGGGCUGUGCAUUAUUCGGUUAAAACCGAAUUUUUUCGGUUAACCGACCGAGUUCGGUUAAUCGGUCGGUUAACCGAAAAAAUUCGGUCUGGGGUCGGUUAAGGUUUUUUGAUUUGUUCGGUUAACGGUUAAAUCGGUUCGAAACGGGUCGGUUAACUGAACAAAUUCGGGUAAACCGAAUUUACAGUUUAAGGGAGUUGGGCCGAAUAGGACAGCCCAAAUGUAAGUAUUCAACAGCCAUAGGCCCUAGCCCAAGAAGGGUAGAACUUGGCCUGCUGUGUGCUGUCCAUUAGACCAUUACCGUUUGGUCCAUUUCUCAGCAGCAGAGUGAGCAAACACCCCUAACAACACCCCUAUUCACAACACACCUCCAGCUCUCCUCCCUAAUUUCACAAAUUUCACUUUCACUUUCACACUCACACUGUCACAAACACAGUCCCAACAACACCCAUAGCCCUAAAUCUCAGUCUCAGUCUUAACUCUUAACACCCAACACCCAACAAACACUCAAUAGUAGAAUCGGGAGUCGCCGAGUCACCAAGUCGCCGAGUACCAGGUUUGCUUUCUUCUAACUUCUUACCUCUUCACUUCAUCUUAACCAAUGCUAUCCAUGGUUGCUGACUUGCUAUCUUCUUUUGUACAUAUGAAAUUUUUAAUAUAUAUAUUAGGUUUUACAAGCAGCUAUGUAAAAAAAAAACCCUAAACAGUAAAAAUGGUAAACGUACAUGAAAAUUGAAAUCAUGGGGAGUGAGGCAGUGAGCAAUGAAAUGAAAUAUAUAGAAUUGCUUUUUCAGUUUUUCUGUGGUGGAUUGAAUAAUGAAUAGAGUCAUGACCAUUUCUUCUUGGGCCUUUUUUCAUCAUUAUAAUAUCAGGGCCAUAGGAAAUUUUUUACUAAUAUUAUAAUUUUCAUCAUUACCCAUUUCCAACAUUCAAUUUAGCUUGUUCUUUUCAUGGCGAAUUGUGCUGUUUGUAUUUCGAUUGAACUAAUAAAAAGCUUUUCUAUUACUAUUCGAGUUUUUAAUGAAAUUCUUUUAAUAGUUGUUGACUAGAUACAGUUAAAUAGACAUUAUCUAUUGUCUAAUUCUGAUCUUAAUAUUAUUUCGUAAUUAAUAAUUAUUAUUUUUUGUUAUAAAAAAUAUCUAAUUAAAAAACCACCAAUUUGGAAUUUAAAUAAUUCAAAGUCUUUGCGUCAUUUCUAUUUGAUUUAGUGACAACAUCUAUGACUAUGCUAUUCAUUUUUAGAAAUUGAAAAACAGAAGGCCAAAAAGCAUUAGAAUUGUUUGAUCUACAAUAUAGCAUUUUUUAAAUAUUUUACCAAUUAAUAUCUUAAAUAAUUUUAAACUUAAUGGUAUAUAUUUAUAUAUGGAAGGAUAAUUAUAUAUAAAGAAUUUGAUUAAAUUAGUGUAAAAAAUAUUUUUUUUGAGAAUAUUUCUAUUUUUUAUGUUUUAUAUAAAAUAUAAAUGUAUGGUAGAAAUUAAACUCAAAAUACCAUAACAUACCAUUCACUCAUCAAUUUUCUCAUUUCGAUCAAAGACAUGUUUAAUUAAAAUAUAAAUUGAAUGUUGAAAAUACCAAACUUGGUCUAAUACCUAAUUUCAUUGGUAGCAGUAGGCAGUAACAAUCAAUGAACAUCACCAACAAGCAAAAUAUGGAAAUUUCAGCACCAUGAUCUUAACUUGGUACAUGCGAACAACAUAUAUGAUAUAUCUAGAAACCAUAACUUAAAUUUAACAAUUUUAGUGUUUUGAUAUCUUAACUAAACUUGAAUAUGUUUGAUACUUUGAUUAUUCAUCCAAACCCUAAUUUUGUAAUGGGUUAAACUAAACUUGUUAUGCUGUUCCUGAUCUUGCAGAAUGUCAACCGAACCAACAUCUAUUGAGGGUAGUGUUACACCUCCUACUUCGAUAGAUUCUGAAAAUUCGGGAGUUGGAGCUUCAAUCCAAACAAAGGGGACUACCGGGAAAAGAAAGGCCCCUCCUCAAAGGUCAGAAGUUUGGUCUCACUUCACUAAAUUUAUUAAUAGUGAGGGUGCAAGUAAGGCUAAAUGUAAUUAUUGUGAAAAGGAAUUUUGUUGUGAUAUGAAAAAAAAUGGUACUGGGUCCUUGAAAUAUCAUAUUGGUUCAUGUAAGAAAAAUUAUAGUAAUGUUGUUGACACUAGUCAAGGACAACUAGUUUUACCUAGAAAGGGAGUUGAAGGGGGGAAGGGAAUCUUUCAACUUGGAGAUUUGAUCAAGAAGCAUGUAGGAAAGGAUUAGCACAAAUGAUUCUGAUUGAUGAAUUACCUUUCAAGUUUGUUGAAAGUGAAGGUUUUAAGAAAUUUAUGUUUGUGGCAUGUCCUAGAUUUCAUAUUCCUUCACGAACUACUAUGACUAGGGAUGUUUAUCAAUUGUAUCUAGAUGAAAUGGUCAAGAUAAAACAACUUUUGAGAAGUUCUUGUUCUAGAGUUUGCUUAACUACUGACACAUGGACAUCUUUGCAAAGAGUUAAUUAUUUGUGUAUCACUGCUCACUUUAUUGAUAAUGAUUGGAAAUUGAAUAAAAAGAUUUUAAACUUUUUUCUAAUUUCUAGUCAUAAGGGUGAGUCCAUUGGGAUGGUGAUUGAGAAAUGCUUGUUGAAUUGGGGGAUUGAUAAGUUGUUUACUGUUACUGUUGAUAAUGCAAGUUCAAAUGAUGUUGCUAUUGGUUAUUUGAGAAAGAAAUUUAACCCUCGAGGGGGUUUAGUUCAAAAUGGUAAAUAUCAUCAUAUGAGAUGCAUGGCACACAUUGUGAAUUUGAUUGUUGUUGAAGGCUUAAAGGAAAUGAAUAAAUCUGUUGAACGUGUUAGGGGGGCUGUUAGAUAUGUGAGACAAUCUCCAGCUAGAUUACAAAGGUUUAAGGAGUGUGUUGUGGUGGAAAAAAUAGAGUGCAAGAAGAUGUUGUGUCUUGAUGUUUGUACUAGGUGGAACUCGACCUACUUAAUGUUAGACACUGCUCAGAACUUUGAGAGAGCUUUUGAGAGAUUUGAGGAGCAAGAUACAAACUUUAGGGCUGAACUUGAAAGGGGAAAGGGUUGGCCUAGUGUGGAUGAUUGGGAUAAUGUUAGAAACUUGAGGGAUUUCUUGGAACACUUUUAUGAAGUCACUUUGCGUAUAUCCGGCACUUCAUAUGUCACGUCCAAUAAUUUUUUUGAUGAGCUUUUCGAAAUUGAUAUUCUUUUACGAGAUGCUCAGUUAAAUAGUAAUAUUGAUUUCAAUGUUAUGGCCAUCAAGAUGAAAGAGAAGUAUGAUAAGUAUUGGGGUGAUAUUGAUAAGAUGAAUUUGCUUAUGUUUGUUGCUUGUGUGUUAGAUCCUAGACAAAAACUAAAGUAUCUUGAAUUUGCACUUAGUGAAAUGUCUAGUUCUGAAAAAGCUUGUGAAAUGAUGCAAAAGUUGAAGGAAUCUUUUUAUGAAUUGUUUGAUGAGUAUAAGCCUCCACUUCAUAGUACUUGUAUCCAAUCGAGUGUGUCAACACAUGUUUCUAUUGGUGAACCACAACAAAAAAUGAAAAGGCGAAUGCAAGCUUUGUAUAAAAAGCGUGAGUUGGAAAUUUGUGGUGAGGAUAAAACAUCUGAGUUGGAUAAAUAUCUAGCUGAGGCUAAUGAAGAAUUUGUUGAAGAUUUUGAUAUUUUAUUGUGGUGGAAAGUGAACAGCCCUAGAUUUCCCAUUCUUUCAAAAAUUGCCAGAGAUGUGCUAGCUAUACCGGUUUCUACGGUUGCUUCAGAGUCUGCAUUUAGCACCGGGGGACGUGUGCUUGAUCAAUAUAAGAGUUCUUUAACUCCUAAAAUUGUACAAGCUCUUGUGUGUACUCAAGAUUGGAUUCGAAGAUCAUCAUCACAAGAAGACAUAAAAAAGAUUGAAGAACAAAUCCAAGAGCUUGACAAGAUUGAAAAUGGUAUGUUUAUUGUUUUAUUUUAAUAGUUUCAAUUUUUUUUAUCAUAUCACUCUUACUUAUUUAAUUGAUUCAAUGUUUAGACAUUUCUUGGAAUGCAUUAGAGCCUACCCUAGAUUCAUGAGCUUUCGUGAGUUAAAGGGUAUGCUUACUACUAUCUUAUUCUUGUUAAUUUAUAAUCUAUUCGUUUGUUUAUAUUAUUUGAUUUUUUUUAAAUGUGUAUAUUUCUAUUAUAUGCUAAAUUUUUGCUCAUGUUUUUUUUUUAGGUUUAAUGCAAAUGGAGAUAUUUUGUAGAGAUGAAAUGGAUAUAAAUGGAGAAUAGAAAAAAACUUACAUGUCAAUUAUGUGUUAAUUCAAGACUUAUGUAAUGUUUUUAAUUAUGUAGUGAUUCAAAGACUUAUGUAAUAUUUUUAAUUAUGUAGUUAUUUAAAGAUUUAUGUAAUGCUUUUAAUUAUGUAGUGAUUUAAAGAUUUAUGUAAUGCUUUUUUAAUUAUGUAGUGAUUUAAUUCGGGUAAUUUGGGUAAUUUUCGGGUAAUUCGGGUAAUUUAGGUAAUUUUCGGGUAAUUCGGGUAAUUCGGGUAAAUUGGGUAAUUCGAGUAAAUCGGGUAAUUCGGGUAUUUCGGGUAAUUUUUAACCAAAAAUGAACAAAACAUAUUUUUCAGUUAAUUCGGUUAACCGACCUUAUUAACCGAAAAAAAUUUCGGUUCGGUUAAUUAUUUUUAAAAAAAUUCGGUUCGGUUAACGGUUAAAAAAAUUUGAGAGGUCGGUUAAUUUGGUUUUCACAAUUUCGGGCCGGUUAACCGACUGAACACCCCUAUUAAUAGGUGAGUAUAUAUAUGCAGUCAUGUACAAGUUACAUGUUAACAUAAUCAUACGAGAUAAUUCAAUAUUAAGUCACAAUGCUUUCAGGAAAUUCAUGAAUAAUCUUCAAACAAUUUAAUAACAAAUCGUUUAACACUAGAGAUAUUAUUCGAUGAAUGAUAUACAGAUAUGAGUACUUAGUUAUCCAUCUGAAACACGCCAAAAGCUCAAACGAGCCAAUCUAACCGAAAACAUGGAUCUAUUCGAUACUAAAAACUAGUUAGCACUCUAAUUAAAAUGCAUAAAACGUUUAUUAAAUUUAAAUACACAUUCAUUGAGGGAUAAAAAAAUUUAAUACACAUUUUCCUUAAUUAUAUUAGGCAUAAUAUCAAAUUUAGUCUUCAUUAUUUUUAUUUUUUAUUAAUUUGAUCUUUAUUUUUUUAAUCUAAAUUUGGCUCCAACAUUUUAAAAAAGCCUAUUCAUUUUUAAUGAAAAUGAUUAUUAAAAUAUUAAUUAUUGACCAUGUUUGUAUGGCAGUUCACGUAUAUUUCGUACUGACAUGAAACUAUUUAUCUCAACAAAUAAUCUAAAAACAAUACAAAUAUUCAAAAAAAAUUAAGAAUUUCAAAAUUCCAAAAAAUAAAAAUAAAAAGUUCAUAAAAAUAUCUAAAAAUUAGCAUAGAGUACAUGUGAAUUGUCAUGCAAGCUAUCAUAUUUAAAAAUUUAACUUUUAGUUAGCAAUUCUAUUGAAAAACUAAUAAUUUGAAUCAUUUUGAAAGAUUAAUGGUCAAAUUCGAUCUUUUUUAAAAGAGCAAGGCCAAAUUUAACUAAAAAAAUAAACGUAAAAUUGACAAAAUAUCCAAAUAUUGAGAGCUAAAUUUGACAUUAUACCUUUAUAUUAUCAGCUAAGGAAAGAACUAUCCACCAAUUAGCUUUCUCUUUUAUUAGAAAAGAUCUAUCCACCUUCAAUUUUACGGGGUGUGCAUUUCGGUGCGGUUUUCGGGAUUUGAUAUUAUUAUUAAGUUAAACGAAAUUUUAAUUGAAGUAAUUAUAAUUUUAUUUCCUUUAAUUUUUUCACAUAAUUAUCUUUUUUAUUCAAUUUAUUAUGUCGUAUCACUUUUAAAUUUACUUUUAUUUUAAAUUCAUUAUAAAAAUAUUAAAAAUUAAAUCAAACACUUUUUAAUAAACUCAAAAAUUAUUUAUUUUCUUACAUGGACUUUCUCUUGUUAUAAAUAUAUAUUAAACGAUAAAAACUAAAUGAAUAUCAUAAAAAUAAAUAAAUUAUCAAUUUAGAUUUUAACUAUUAAUGGAUAUUGAGUUUAAGGGGUGGGGGAUUCAAAAGUACCAAAUUUUAAUAACUAUUCGGAUUUAAUAUUUAAAUUAAUUUUAAUAUUGGGUAUAUAAAAAGUUAGGAGCUUAUCGUCUAUGACAUUAAUUGACAUAAAAAACCUAUCCUCCGCUUAACUUUCUUUUUAGAAGAGAAGAUUAAAAAGCCUAACUAAAUUUACGUGUCUCUAGAUAAUUGAUUGAAGAAUCAAAACAAAUUCACAAAGAUAAGCCCACCCUAAACCUACUAUUCUGCUAGUUUACUUAAGUGCCAUCGAAAUUAACAAAACAGCCAGCAAAACAGGCCAAAGAUGGAAGGGGUUGAGCACAGAAUAGUUAAGGUGAAUGGCAUAAACAUGCACGUUGCAGAGAAGGGGGCAAGGCCCGGUCAUUCUUUUCGUCCAUGCCUUCUCCGAGCUAUGGUACCUUUGGCGUCACCAGAUUGCUGCUUUGUCUUCCAAGGGUUACCGACCUGUGGCCCCUGACCUGAGGGGCUACGGUGACACGUAUUCUCCGGAUUCAGUCACCUGUUACACCUGUUUCCAUAUAGUGGGGGAUUUAGUUGAGCUUUUAAACACCAUCGCCCCUGACCAACAGGUGUUCGUGGUUGGCCAUGAUUGGGGAGCUAUCAUUGCUUGGUAUUUGUGCUUGUUCAGGCCAGACAAAGUGAAAGCUGUGUUCAACCUCAGUAUGCCCUUUACUCCACGUAAUCCACAAAUGAAGCCCACUGAUGGGUGGAGAGCUAUCUAUGGGAAUGAUUAUUACAUAUGCAGAAUCCAGGUAAAUCACAUUUUUUCAGUGUCUUUUAAACCACAAUUUGUAGUUCCCGGCAAGGCUUUCUAUUCAUUUUUUCCACAGUAUCCUAAGAAAUAUGUUCAAAGAUGGCAACAACAGCAGCUGCAUGCAAGAAACCAUGCAAAGUGCACGUUGCAUGAAGAGAACCAGAAAUCCAGCCGAUGCAUGCUUGUGUCCAUGGUGUAAUUCGACAGCAGCAUGUUUUAUUUUGUUGACUUUUGAUAGUUAAUGCUUUAAUCAUUUUAUGCUUUGGUCAGCUAAGGUUAAUUGUGUGCUUAGCUGAUUUUGUAGCUCUUUUAGGUUAUUAUUAAGUUGAUGUAAACCUUUAGUUACUUGCACAAGCAAGCUUUGUUUUCUUUCUAUGUAUUUUUGUUCUAUUUAUGUAUGUAACUAUGCACUUAUUCGGGUAAUGAAGAAAUCAUCUUGUUCAUUCAACCUUCUCUUGUUUUUUGCUUCGGUUUUAUCUUUCAAACAUCUCAACAUUCAUUUUAGUUGAUUUUAAACUUCAUUGCUGAGUUAAAAAUCCAACAAAAUACAACUGAAACACAUUACAGGAACCUGGAGAAAUAGAAGCUGAGUUUGCAGAGAUGGGUACAGAGACCGUAAUGAAGGCAUUGCUAACAUACAGAGUUCCAGAUCCAUUAAUGUUACCCAAAGGGAAACCAUUCGGCCAUUCAGCAAAUACCCCAAUUACAUUGCCUUCUUGGUUAUCAGAGGAAGAAGUUAAUUACUAUGUCACUAAGUUUAACAAAAGCGGCUUCACUGGUGUGAUCAACUAUUACCGUAACUUUGAUCGGUAUUUAAUUCUUUUUCCAACUUUAAACACCCCCGUAAUAGGUGCUUUUUACCUUCUGUCUCAUGAUUUAACCUUACAUGUGUGUGUGUGCGCGCGCGCAGAAAUUGGGAAUUGAUGGCACCAUGGGGUGGUUGUGAGGUAAAGGUUGCUGCCAAGUUCGUAGUGGGUGAUGUGGACCGGUUUACUAUAUGCCCGGCUUGAAAGAACACAUUCACAAUGGUUGAUAUUCAAGAAAGAUGUGCCAAUGUUGGAAGAAGUAGUGGUAAUGGAAGGAGUUGGGCACUUCAUCCAUAUGGAAAAACCCGACGAGAUUAACAACCUCAUUUAUGACUUCUUCCAUCAGUUUGAUUAAUAUUUUGUUUUAAAUCCUUGUCUGUUCCAUCUAUAUUUGUGUAAUAAAAUUUGGGUAGCUUAAGGACCUUAAUCAUCUGUGCAUGAAUCCAGCUGAUUUCGGGAACUGAUAUUUGAUCUUUCCAAUCCCCCGACAUCCUUCCCCGAAUGUUUUUAGAUAUGUAAUUGAAUUAUUUGUGUUUAGCAAAUAUUUGUAUACGAGAUUUAUAGCUUCUUUUCUUGAGACUAACAAUGAUAGUAUUAAGUACAAGUUUCUAGAGAAGGAUGCACAAAUUUAUUUAUUUAUUUAUUUAUUUUUUUGAUAUACUAUCAAUUUGUUGCUAUUGAUCUAUCAAAAUUAAGAUAGUUAAUAAGAUUUUUUUAAAAAGAUAAUGUAUAAGAUAGUUAAAUCACAUAGUUAAAGAGGACGAAGACAGAAAAUUAUUUUUAAGGAAAUUAGAGAUAAAUUAUAAAUUUUAGAUAGGAUUAAAGUGUAAUUUUAUCAUUAUAUUAAUUUAUAAUUUCAUAAAUUUUAAAUUGACUAAGAAAUAUAUUUACCAUUUUUUAAAGGGCAAGGCUAUUACAUGGAGGAGAAAAGAUUGUAUGAAACUGUAAUUCCACAUCAUCCCUAUUCCUUUUCAACAGGAGAAUGACAAUUCAAAUUUUUCCUCCUGAUUUUCAGCCUUUCCCUCCUAAAAAAAGUUAAAUCCAACUAAAAAUAUGCUAAAACUCAAGAGUAAAAAGUUGACUUGUCAUUCUCCUAUUGGAAAGUGAUAAGGAUGAUGUGGAAUUAUAGCUUCUUACAAUCCCUUCUCUACAUCAAAAAUAUAUUAAACUAAUAAAGUUCAGAAGAUGACUUAAACUUAUCUAUUAAAUCAACAAAUUUAAAAGAAAAUUUGAAAAGUCUUAAAAGCUAAAAAAUGCAAUAAUGUCUAAAAUAAUCAUUUCCCAAACUUCCCAUUCCCAUGUUCACAACAUAAAGCCAAAACAUGUUCACUUGCUAAUGGUCUUGGUUAGCACAUCAAGCCACCUAAGAGAUAUCCCUCCGCUCACUACCAACUGGCCAAUUACCAGAAGAUUGAUGGUUCGGAAGGCCAGAUUCCAACCAACCUUUCGUCUUCCUCGGAAGGAUUCUUGUCAACCAUCCUUGUAAGGUUACUACCCGCUUUCUACAGAAGGUUUUCACCUAUCCCUUCCUAAGGAACACCUGCUCUUCUGUUCAGAAUGUGACUUUUAGGUUUACAAACUCACAAUUCAAAAGGAAUGACAAAAUGCGUCUCAUUACAAACAUAUUUCCCAUCCAUCCCACAAUGAUGGUGUGAUAGCAAGUUCACCGCAUUAGCAUCACCAAACACAAAACCUCGUUUAUAUACCUCCUCUAGCACGCACGUGAGAUGAAGGAGGGAUUGGCUCUUAUUACCCUCAGCAUCCAUAUUUGUGUCCUCAAGAUCCUCACUCACAUACGUUCUCUGGCUCUCCGUCCUAUCUGGGUGAACUAGCCUUCAUCAGCACCAACGUACCCUCCUUCAUGUUUCCUCCCUUAUUGAUACCUAACAUCAACAAGGAACAAACUCAAAAUCAUGAAAAUUGGAUUACUGUAAUGUCUUUCAUAUAAAAAAACAUAAUUCGACAACAUAUUUUUGCAAAACAUAUUUUAUAUAUACACCGAAACAUAUUUCAUAAUCAUAUGAUGAAAUUUAAAUAUAGAAAAAUAAUAAUAUUUAGAUAGUUCAACCAUACAUGUUUCAAAUUUUAAUACUACUAGCAUUUUUAACUUGAUUUUCAUAAAAUAUGGUCAAAAAUAUCAUAUAUCACAUAAAUAACAUAAAAAUAUUUUAAAAUUAAAAUUUUUAAAAAAUAUGGAGUCACUUACUCACGCAAAUCUCCUGAUGUUCUAAACUAAAGUUAAAAAUUAGAAUUCAAACAAUAAAUUAAAAGUUUAAAAUGUACAAAUUUCUAUAUUAACCUGAGUCAUGUAACUAUAAAUUUCCGCAAGUCAUUUGCCUCCGACAGAAUUUAUGCAUCCACAUUCAUCUUGCAUGCCUUUAGAGCUUGUUUGGUUGGGGGGAAUCGGUAUGCAUUCCCCCUAUUACCUGGGCCCACCACCAAACAAACGUUUGGUUGGGUGUAAUCGUAUUACACCCCUAUUCCCUUCCGUGUCUAUUACUGGAUAUUGGCUGUAAUAGCCAUUCUGAGUUUGAAGCGGCGAUUAGGGAUUCCCAACUAAUUCCCAAUUUUAUUUUUCCUGUUCUGCCCUCAUUCUCUCCCGACGUUUCCCAAUUUUUUCCCUUCCAGAUUUCUACUUCUUCUCCUGGUACGGUACGCUUCUUUUCCUCUCACAUUUCUUUUCUUUUCUCCAUUUUCUUUUCUCCAGAUUUCUACUUCUUCUUCCAAAUUUUUUCCUUGUUUUUCUCUUCUUUUCUUUUCUGUAAAAUUGAUUUUGAUUUUGUUUUGCUUUUGCUUUUGCUUGUGCUCAAAUCUAGAAUAUUUGUUUUUCUUCUCCUAAUUUUGAUUCGUUUCUAGCGUUUUCCAUUCGGCUUUUCUUUGUAUUGCAUGUUAGAUGAAAUUUUUUUCAUUCAUCAUGUUCUAUUAUUUGUUUAUUCUAUUGCAUGUUUGCCUGAUUCUAUUGGUUUCCUUUGUUGUGCUUUGCUGUGAGAGUGAGUGAGUGUUUGCUGGUCAAUCUGCAGAAUGUGAUUUUAAUAUAGGGGGAAAUACAGUGAACGUGCUCAUCUUUGUCUUUCGAGUCUGAAACUAAAACAACACUCUCACGCUUUGAAGAUUUUUAUUUUUUUAUGUGAUGGAUUUUUAUUUUUAUUUUAGUAAAAUAGCUAGUUGAUGCUACUUUUUUGUAAUCUUCAGGUAAUAUCAAUUCCAUUGUUGUCAUGUUUCCCCCAUAUAGCAAUGCUUUCAGGGGUAGUCCUGCAUUUGGUGAUAAAUUGUGCAGCCAUAUUAAGAAACACUCUAUCUGUAAGUGAAUCUAAAUCCUAAAUAUGUACAAAUACAUGGAGAAGUUUCUGGUUAUGAACUCCAGGUUCUGAAUCCAAUGAAUACACUGAAAUGAAUCAGACACGUUUCUUUUAAACUGUUUUUCUUUCUUUGUUCUUUUCGGUUGAAACCGUCUGAUUUAUGGGGAAAAUUCAUUGGUAUCGUGUAGGUUUCACUUGUUACUGGAUUAUUCAUAUUGCUGAACAAUGCAGUGGUAAUGUUUUCUGCCCAUAUUUUGGGAAAUAUUUCAUUUUAAAUCUAUGUUGAACCCUUCAUUUUUCUUUUCAGACAUGGGGGUGGACAUACAACCCUCCAAAUACAUAGAAACACUGAGAAAAACAAUUGUAUUAAUUGACUUUGAUUGUAUAUACAUGAAUUAUCAUUCCUCUCUCUGGCUUCAACAUUGUUUGUUUAUUCUUUUUCUUGUUUCAGCCUCAAAGUCAGAGAGGGGCUGCUAAUGCCAUUUCAAUAACUGCAAUGUCUAUUUUCAAAGCACUUGGUCCAGCAAGAGGAGGAGCGUUGUAAGUAUCUUUUUUCUUUCCAUUUUCUGUAUGUAUUUUAGCUUUUUAUAUAUGAAUCACACUAGUCUAUUUGAGCAGCAAAAUCUGCACAGUUCAGCACUUUCAAUUUUUACAAACUGACAAUGCUUUUGUGCCACAAUGUCGUCGACAUAUUCGAGAUUUUGAUGGAGAGGUCUUAGUUUACAUUGUUGAUAAAACGUUGAACUUAAUUAAUUCUUAAAUUUCAAAGGUCUUGAAGGGCCAAAUGUGAGGGCUUCUUAUUAUGGUUGAUUAUAUUGUUAAAAUGAAAUCUAUAGAACCUGAACUAGGUCAAGUUGAUGCAUGUGGUUACCCUUAAAAAGUAAUGCAGUAGAUUUAGUGUUCGAUUCCUAGAAUGUGUAACAUCUUCCCUUAACCUCAAGCCGCAACCUUUUUUAUACCCCUUGCUUAGAGAGACAAAACCAAAGAUUAAUUCAAUCUUAAAUUUAGCAAAUGUUUGUUUUCUUCCUAGCCAAUUUAUAUACCAGAACUACUAUUUUCUUUUGACUCAAUAAGGGUCUUAUCAACCUUUUUUCGUUCAUGAAAAUGUAGAUUUUCUUGGGCACAAGAGCGACAAGUUGCCUCUUUUCUUCCAGGUUUGUAGUUGAAUCCUAAUAAUACAGCUUCAAAAUAGGCUCGGAUCGAUUUACUAUUUAUACAUGUCGGUAUUUAAUACAAGACAUUUCUUUGAUUUUUGGAUUUUGGAAACAGGUGAUCAAAUGGUUUUCUUUGCGCUAAUCGUGGUUCAAUUUAUUGGGUUGCUAUUGACUUUCAAGCCCUUUCUUGCUGAACCGUACCAGAGAGAAUAGCAUCAACGAUUAUUUUUUUAGUUCACUUCAUCGGUGUUCUCAUCAUAUGAAUCAUUGUUGAUUAGUGAAUUGACCCGAAUAAAGUUUGUAAUAUUUGGGAUGGUACGUCAUUACGAUGUUCUAAUUUUUUGAUGUUGAAAAACAGUAUAACAUAUGGAUUAUGACAUAGAAUUUCAUGAAUUUCAUGUAACCUUUUGUUAAUAUAUGAAUAUUAUGUUUAUGCAAAAUAUAAUUCUCAAGUUAUUUAUUAUUAUUAAUAAUUUUUUUAUUGUAAAAUAAUUAAAUUAUUUGUUUCACUAAUGAUAUUUUAGCACAUUAAAUAUGUAUUGCAGUUUAAAAAUAAUAAAUUAGAUUAUUUUAAAUUAUAUUUUAUAGUAUUAUAUAUUAUGAUUUUAGUAAAUUCAUAUAAGAAUAAUUAUAUUGAAUUUUAUUAAAUUAUAUAUUUUUAUUAAAUUAUAUUUAAUAAUUAUUAUUUUAAAUUAUAUUUUAUAGUAUUAUAUAUUAUGAUUUUAGUAAAUUCAUAUAAGAAUAUUUAAUAUUAAGAAUUUUAUUAAAUUAUACAUUUUGAUUAAAUUAUAUUUAACAAUAAUUAUUUUAAAUUAUAUUUUAUAGUAUUAUAUGAUUUUAGUAAAUUCAUAUAAGAAUAUUUAAUAUUAAGAAUUUUAUUAAAUUAAAUAUUUUUAUUAAAUUAUAUUUAAUAAUAAUUAUGUUAAAAUAUGAUUAAAUUAUUUAUUAUUUAUAUUAAUAAUCUUAUUAAAAUUUAAUAACAAUAACAAUAAUCAUCUACCUAACAAAAAUUCUGCUAAGGGUAUUUUAGUCAUUUUAGUUUUUUUCCUUAUGCUAUUACAAUAUCAUUUCUUUCAACCAAACACAAGAAUACUAUUACAAUUCUAUUCCAUUUCAUUCAACCAAACAAUUGAAUUACUAUUACGCCUCUAUUCCAUUACACCUCUAUUCCAUUAUAGCGAACCAAACAUGCCUUUAUAUUUUAGAACAAUGCAACAGACCUUAUUCGUAAAUAUCGAAACAUGAAACAAUAUGAACAAAUAAUAUGAGUACAAUAUCAAAUCAUAAAUGUAACACCCCUAACCCGUAUUCAUCGCCGAAAUAGGGUUACGGAGCAUUACUGAAGUUUACAAAUCAAAUAGACAAACAUUUCAUAUCAUAUAGCAUUCAUGUCAGAAACCAAUCGAAAACAAACAUAUUGUCCCUUAUAUGAGCCAUCGAGGCCCAAAAUACGCGUUAAAACCAAGUCGAGACUAGAUCGGAUACUCAAAAUUUUUUUCAAAAAAACAUUGAAAUUUUUCAAAGCUGCAGGGGCCGCACGGCGUGUGACUCACACGGUCAGGAGACACACCUGUGUCUCAGGCCGUGUGGACAUUCGAAAUAGGGACACGCAGUCGUGUCCUAGCUCGUGUCUGUGCCCGUGUAAUUCUCUGACUUAGGUCACAUGGCCAAGUCACACGCCCAUGUGCUAGGCUAUAGGAGCAUACUAACUUGCACUCUUAAGAAGAUACGUGUGUCACACACAGCUGAGUCACACGCCCGUGUCUCUGCCCAUGUGGAUGAAAAUAGGCCAAUUUCCAAGCCAUAUUUCUCACCCAAUUUGACAUCAACCUAACUCAACAUUUUUGCACAUCAACAAUCCAUAACAAGGCAUUCAAAAUAAGCUAAAAUCAAGUCUUAAAUAUAAAAUAUCACCACAUACAACCAAUAUGCCCUUAGGCACCUCAAAUGACAAAUUAAAAACAUGUCAACCAAGUAUCUCAACUUACCUAAAUGACCAAGUAUAUAUAUGCAUAUUCAAACCACAUUUUACUUUAUUUCAUUCUACCAUAUCAAUCACACAUCAAACAUGAUAAGUCCACAUAUAUACACAUCAAAAUAUACCAAACACAAGCCAUAUAAAUGGUUAAUCUCAACAAAAAUACUUAUAUGCCAACAUUGGUCAAAUUAACUUAUACAUGUCAUUAUAACAGAAAUUAAUUUACUGAAAGUACCAAAAGGAUAGAUGGAUAGUGUGAAAUAGCUCCGACUAGCUUCCAACCGAACGAGCUUCUGAAUUACUAUAAAACAUGAAAAAUAACACAAAGUAAACAUUUAAGCUUAGUAAGUUCGUAUAACACGGAAUUUAACUUACCAUAUAUCCAUAAAAUAGGUAAGUAAACAUAGCAUAUCACAACCAUUUUGGCCAAAAGCCUAAACACACGAUCACCAACAUAUUAGCCAUGUAAAUCACAUAUAAGAUCCAACACACAUGGUGCCAAACUGGUGUGUUUUGGUUGGAUCCAUGUAUCCGUCCGAGUCCGAGUCAUGUUAAUAGGGGUAAUUAAAUGAGAUGAUAUUAUGAUUGGAAUUGAAAAGUAUUGAAAGUGAAAUGGAAAUGAGAUAAAUGAACUGUGCACUUUAUUGUGAAAAGUUAUUUGAGAUAGCAAUUGAUGAGAAAUUGAAAAUGUUAAGAUUAAUUUAUUAUGAAUUGAUCAAAUUGAAUGACUAUUGUUAUUAUGAGAUUAAACGUGCAUAUUACUUUAUUUUAUUUUUUAAUAUUCAGAUUAUAGAAAUACCACUAAGUUCAUACUUAGUGUACGGUUUAUUUUCCGUGUGCAGGUUAGGUACUUAAGAGUUGACCGUAGGUUCAACAUCCACAACGAUCCCGAACUCAAAACUUGGUGAUGUAUACUUCUUUUUGUGUUGGCAUGUACCUAGGGCGUCUAAAUGUUAACUAUUUUAUGAAGUGAUUGUAAAUAAGAUUAUAAGUUAAUGUUGGUUGAUUAUACAUAUGUAAAUAUAUGUGUUUAUAUAGAGGCUAUAACAUGGCAUGUUUAAGUUAAUGUGUAAAUGAACAAGAUAUAGGCAAAAAUGGAUUGAAAUAGACAUAUUUCCAAUUUGGUUUUGAAUGGUGUCCUAUUGAAAUGUUUUGAUAAUAUAUGUGAAGUACCUAUGAGGGUACAUUGGUUAGGAAACUAGGAUGAUUGUUUUGACAUGUUUUAAAGGUAUUAAAUCGUGUUUUAAAGUGAUUGAACGAUUGGUUUUUGAGUUACUUGGUGUUCAAGGUUGCAGGGAAGAGUAAACUUGAUAUUUAAGGUUCAUUUUGAGUCCACACGGCCAGACACACGGGCAUGUGACUGGACCGUGUGAGACACACGGCUAACACAUGGGCGUGUGUCCCCUGUACCUAGGAAAAUUUUUAAAAUUUUGUGAAAAAUUCCUGGAGUACCCGAUUUAGUCUCGAUUUGUUUCUAACACAUAUUUUGAGCCCCUAGGGCUCAUAAAAGGGACAAUAUGAUUAAAUUAUGAUGUGUAUGCUAGAUGAUUAUAUAAUGUUCAUAUUUGAUCUGAAAAGUCCGGUAAUGCUCCGUAACCCCAUUUCGGCGACAUAUAAAGGUUAGGGGGUGUUACAUUUAGAAUUAUUCAACAUGAACAGCAUCUAAAAAUUCAAUAUUUUCUAAAAUUUCAAUAUAGGUUAAGUAGUAUUUAAUACUAGGAUUCUAAAAACAUAAAAAUUACAAGAAAAUGGACUAAAUUAACUUACCAAUUAAGCUUUGAACUCUUAAAAACCCUAAUUUUUCUUCUUUUUCUUUCAUUUCUUUCCUUCUCUGUUUCGUUUCUUUGUUUUGUUUCUUUUUCUAUUCUUUUUCUUUUAUUUAUUUAGUUAUUACAAUAUAAUAUAAUAUAAUAUAAUAUAUACUUAACUUUUAAGUAAUAUUAUUAUAUUAUUAUAAUAUAUAUUUUAACUUCAAAUUUUUAAAUAAAUAUAUACUUAUGCUGCCUCAAUUUAUGUAAUUGGCCUAAUUGCUUAUUUGGCCCUUUUAACUUUCUUUAAUCUAUAAUUCAACUUCCAAACUAUAUGCAAUUUAGUCAUUUUACCUAAUUACUCUUAAUUCAAGCUAAUUCACCUAACCAAGACCUAACUAACCACACAACUAACUUUGUAAAUAUUUUUAAUAAAUAUUUACGAAUCCAUUUUACAAAAACGAAAACUUGAAAAUACACUUUUCAAUUACCCGUGACUAUCGGGUAGCUACAUGUGCCACACGGCCAAGCUACACGCCCGUGUGUUAGGCUGUGUGAGGUUACCUAAAUGCUUACUUUAGAAGUUACAGGGGACACACGACCAUGUCUCUUGGUCGUGUGUCACACACGGCUGAGACACACCCCUGUGUGGACAAAAAUAGGCUAUGUUCCAAGCCAUAUUCUCACCCAAAAUUUGCCGCAACCUACUCACAUCAAAUAGCAUAUGACCAUAUCAUCAAUAGGCAUUCAAACAAACCAAAGUCAAGUAUAAAUCAUGCAAUACAUUACCCACAACCAUAAUGCUGAUAUGCAUCAUAAUUUACCAUUUAAAAAACAUGCCAAUAUCACCUCCAAAAGCUACCUAAAUGGUCAAGUACAUAUAUGCAUUAUCUUGCCUAACCAUUACAUGCUUACCACUUAUCAAAUUCAUCUAUAAUUUACUAAGCUAUCAAAGCAAAAUCAAGACACUCCCAUGGCAAUCAUACAUACUAGAAAAUGAGGCUAGCUACACAUAUAUAUAUACAAACCAACAUAUACCAAAACAAGCCAAAUCAAAUGGCUAAUUACAUAACAAAACAUAUAGGCUUUCAUUAGCCAAAUGACCUAUACAUGCCAUAUAACCAAAAUACAUAAAGUCCAAAAGUAUAAAAAUGAGAGUUUGAUAGUGUGAUGCAAUCUCCGACUACUUCCAAACCGAGCGAGCUCCCGAAUCACUAUAAAAUACGGAAAAUUAAACAGAGUAAGCAAUUAAGCUUAGUAAGUUCGUAUAACAUAAAACUCAACUUACCAUUUAAUCACAAUUUAAGUAAUUAAAUAUAGCAUAAUGCAACUCAAUUUGAUCUACAAGCCUAACACAUAUUCAUCCACAAGGUUAGACAUGAAAUCACAAAUCUUAUAGAUUCAAUUCUCACAUGAUUCACAUACAUACCUGUACUAGUUCAUAUCACUCAUACACUCUCGUAAUAACACUAUGCCCGUUGAACCAUUUGGAAUAAUAUUGGAUACUUAGGCAUCUCGCACACUAAGUGCCAAUACAUGGUCGAAACCACCUCCAUCUCAUAUCUCAUAUGGAUGCUCACUCUCGAGCCAUCAUUGGGUCUGCUCACACAAGCUGAUGGUCAAAACGUAGCUACACGGUGCUGCUCACAUAAGCUGUCAAGUAACCGCAACACAUGCCGAAAACUUAGCCACCGGUAGGACGUACGAGACCAGCACCCAAAACACGGUAACCCUUAAUGACAUGUCAUUUGUAUCAUAUCUAUUCUUAAGGUUCAACCGGGAUCCAUACGAUUGCUGAUAUCUCGUCGAGAAUUUUCGUAGUAUCAUAUCAUCCAAUUAUAUCAAUUAAGCAUGUAAACACAUAUAUAAUUUAAAGCUUAUUAACAUACAAACUUACCUUGAACUCGUACGGCAGAAAUUUAUCGUUCAGUCUAAAACUUUAUAUUUUCCUCGAUCUAAUUCCGUACGUUGCUUUUCUUGAUCUAUAUAAUCAAAUUUAACUAAUUUAAUUCAUAUUUUACUCAAUUCAAUCCAAAUUUCAUGUUAUGGUAAAACUAUCAUUUUGCCCUUAAACUUUUGACUUCUUUGCAAUUUACUCCUAAACUCAUAAAAAUGCAAAUUCAUGCAAUUUAGUCCACACCCAUGCUGGCCGAAUAUCAUCUAAGCUUAAAGAAGCCCAUACAUUUCAUUAAUUUACACAUUUCACCACAUAAUUUUCACAUUUUACAAAUAAAUCCUUAUUUGACAUUUUCAACAAAAAUCACUUCAUAAAACUUGUUUAUCUAACAACAAUUCAUUUUCUACCAUUAAAGUUCAAAACCCUAACAUAUACAUCAAUGGAAAAAUUCAAACAACUCAAUAGUUUUGCAAAUUAGUCUUAUGCUACCUAGAUUAAGCUACAACGAUUCUAAAAACAUAGAAAUCGGAGUCAAAAAUCAUUUACAUGCACAAGAAGACUUGACCGAAUGCUAUGAACCCAAAAAUGGUGUUUUUAUUCCCUUAAAUUUUGGAAAAAAUAUGAAUGAAUAAGAAAUUUGGACUUUAUUUUACUUAAUUUGCUUUUAUUUAAUAAAUUACAUAUAUAACCUUUAUUAUAAACUUUAAAAUUCACCUAAUUCAUAUCCAAGAAUGUCCACUAACUUUAUAAAUGCUAAAAUUACCACUUAAAUCCACUCAUGUUUCAAUUUCAUAGCAAAUUGACACCUUAUUCUAAAAGAACACAAGUUUUACACUUUACUCGAUUUAGUCCUUUUAUCAAAUUAAUCAUGCAAACGAUAAAAUUUCUCAACAAAAUUUUUAUACAACUCUAUUAAGAUUCUGUAGACAUUAAAAUAAUAAUAAAAUAAAUAUUUUUACUUUAAAUUUGUGGUCUCAAAACCACUAUUCUGAUUUCACUAAAAACGGGUUGUUACAGUACAAACUCGGUGAACCACUCAUUCAUCAUCUGGAAGAAGGCUUUUUUAGCCACUCCUCCCUAGUCCUCAGAUACGGGCCUCUACCACUCGAAUCUACUCCUUGAAUGUAGGCUUGAGCGUUACUCUCUAUUUCAUUGGAAUCAACUCGGUUGGAUGUCAUUGCUAUAUGAAAACAUGUUUUAAAAUGAUUAGGAGAUAUCACACUAUCACAGGUUAUAUAAUGGCAUGUAUAGCUAGACUCGUAUAUGCUACGUUAGUCUGAGAAUUGACUAAACCGUAGCUCUUAUACCAAUAAAUGUAACACCCCUAACCCGUAUCCAUCUCUGAAACAGGGUUACAAAACAUUACCAGAAUUUACAAAUCAAAUAAACAAACAUUUUAUAUCAUAUAGCAUUCAUGUCAGAAACCAAUUGAAAACAAACAUAUUUUCCCUUAUACGAACCCUCGAGGCCCAAAAUACGCGUUAGAAACAAGUCUUGACUAGAUCAGGUACUUAAAGAAUUUUUCAGAAAACAUAAAAAAUUUUCAAAGCUGCAGGGGUCACACGGCCGUGUGGCCAGGCUGUGUGACUCACACGGUCAAGAGACACGCUUGUGUCUUAGGCUGUGUAGGCAUUCGAAAUAGGGACACAGGGUCGUGUCCCAGCCCGUGUCCGUGCCUGUGUAACUCUCUGACUUAGGUCACACGGCCAAGUCACACGCCCUGUGCUAGGUCGUGUGAGCAUACUGACUUGCACUCUUAAGAAGAUACAGGGGACACACAGCCAUGUCACCUAGCUGUGCGUCACACAUGGCUGAGACACACGCCCGUGUCUCUAUCCGUGUGGAGAAAAAUAGGCCAAUUUCCAAGCCACAUUUCUCACCCAAUUUGACAUCAACCUAACUCAACAUUUUUGCAUAUCAACAAGCCGUAACAAGGCAUUCAAAACAAGCCAAAAUCAAGUCUUAAAUAUAAAAUAUCACCACAUACAACCAAUAUGCCCGUAGGCACAUUAAAUGACAAAUUAAAAACAUGUCAACCAAGUAUCUCAAUUUACCUAAAUGACCAAAUACAUAUAUGCAUAUUCAAACCACAUUUUACUUUAUUUCAUUCUACCAUAUCAAUCACACAUCAAACAUGAUAAGUCCACAUAUAUACACAUCAAAAUAUACCAAACACAAGCCAUAUAAAUGGUUAAUCUAAACAAAACACUUAUAUGCCAACAUUGGCCAAAUUAAUCUAUACAUGCCAUUAUAACCGGAAUUAAUUUACUAAAAGUAUCAAAAGGACCGAUAGAUAGUGUGAAAUAGCUCCGACCAGCUUCCAACCCAAACGAGCUUCCGAAUUACUAUAAAACAUGGAAAAUAACACAAAGUAGGUAUUUAAGCUUAGUAAGUUCGUAUAACACGAAAUUUAACUUACCAUGUAUCCAUAAAAUAAGUAAGUAAACAUAACAUAUCACAAUCAAUUUGGCCAAAAGCCUAAACACAUAAUCACCAACAUAUUAGCCAUGAAAAUCACAUAUAAAAUCCAACACACAUGGUUGAAUUCACCAAAUAAUCAUAUUUCAUGUAUUUCAUGUAAAUACCAGUAAUAGUUCAUAUCAAACUCAUAUAAUCUCGUAAUAGAACUAUGCCUGUUGAACCAUUUAAAAUAUCGUUGGAUACACGGGUAGUACACUUGAGGUGUACUGAAUUGUUAUCCGUCAAUUCAUAUUCAUGUAUACUCAUACAUGCUAUGAAUCAGUAUGCUCUCACAAGCUGUGAAUCGGGAAGCUCAUACAAGCUACAAAUCGGGAAGCUCAUACGAGCUAUAAAUAAGCUCAUACGAGCUGUGGUGUGUCCGCAACACAUGCAGGACCCUAACAAAAUCGAUAACCCUAAUGACAUAUCAUUUGUAUCCUACGAAUUUCUUAGGUUCAAAUGGGACUCAGUAAUCGUCAGAUAUGAAAUCGGUAUUUAUACAUAGCAAUUAUACAAAUCACAUACAUAUGAUUCAAUUAAAACAUAUAAAUACUCAAUUUAAUUACACGAACUUACCUCGACAAAUGUAUGUAAACACGGAGGCGACUAAUCUGAUAUUUUCUCUUUACCUCGAUCUAACUCUGUACGAGGUCUGAAAGGAUCUAUACAAAUAAAUUUAAUUCAUUUCAAUAUAAUUCUCAUUCAAUUUAAUCCAACGUGGAAUUUUGGCAAAAUUACUAUUUUCCCUAUACUUUUAAUUCUUUUUUAAUUUAGUCCCUAGGCUCGUAAAAUGAAAUUCAUACAAUUUAAUCAUUACUCAAGUCUAGCCGAUUUUAUACAUAUUAAUAGAAGCUCAUAUAUUUCACAAAAUUUACAAAUUUUACCAUAAAUUUAUCUUCUUUUUCAAUUUAAUCUCUAAUUGAUAAUUUCAUCAAAAUUCUCUUUACAAAAGUUGUUUAUCUAACAUUAACCAUUCAUUUUCUGUCAUCAAACUUCAAAAUUCAAGCAUAUUCAUCAACGGUAAAACCCUAAUACUUUAACAGUUUUGCAAAUUAAUCCCUAGACUAGCUAGAUUAAGCUACUACGAUCUUAGAAACAUAGAAAUCAUCAAAAAGGGGACAAAAAUUCAUACCUAAUAUUUGAGAAAAAUAAGCUUGCCUAAAUUUUCAAGCUUCCAUGACUAGGUUUCUUUUUUUGGUGGAAGAUUAUGAGAAUGGAUGAUAAUAGUUUAUUUUAUUUAAUUUAUCAUAACUUUAAUCACUAAUUUCCAAAAUUAACCUUAAUAAUUCAUUCAAUUUCCAAUGAUGACUAUUCAUGCUUAUCCAUUAACAACUUUAAUGGCUAAUUACUGUAUAAAGACCUCAAAUUUAAAAUUCUAUAGCUAUUUAAUACAUUUAACUAUUAGAAAUCAACUUUUUCACUUUAUGCAAUUUAGUCCCUAUUAUCAAAUUAAGUAUGUAAACCAUAAAGUAAUAAUAAAAUAAAUUUUUUGACUUCGGAUUUGUGGUCUCAAAACCACUGUUCCGAUUUCACUGAAAACAGGCUGUUAAAGUAAAUGUGAAUAAUUAAUAUAUAAAAUUUUAUAUAAAUAUACAUGGUUAUGAUAUGAGAAAAGUAGAGGUGUUGAUGGACUGGGUCGGGUCCAAUCAAAAUUCUAGCCAACCAAAAUUCUAGACCUAAUUGCUAGGACCGGGUCUGAUCCGGUCCAAAGAAGGGCCUAAAUUUUACCCAAACCUAGCAUGGAUAAAAAUGUUAAAACCCUGGCCCGACCCACCCAUAUUAAUUUUUUAUAUAAUUUUUUUAUAUAAUUUUUUAAAAAUAUAUAUAAUACGUCAAAAAUACUAAAAACAUCAAUAAAUUUAAAAACAAUAUAUAGACUUAAAUAACACCAAGAUAGGUGUAAGUUAACAAGCAAAUGCAUCUAAAAUAGUAACAAAUUUAAAAAUAAAACAAAAGCUAUACAAUAUCCAACCAACAACAAUAAAAUAGUGAAAAAAAUGGCAAAAAAUAACAAGAAAAAAAACAGCAAGAAUAGUAAAAAAAAUAGCAGAUUUUUUUUUUUUUUUUGCAUUUUCGGGCAGAAUUGAGCUUAGGGCAAAAAAGCAUUACCAAAAUCCUCCCACUUUCGGGCAGGCCUUCGGGUUAGGCCUGGCAUUGGAUGUCUAGAGCAAAGUCUAAAGAGAGAGAAGCAACAGAAGAAAAGUCGAUGUCUAUCUUCAUCAGCCUGCUUACAAAGAAACAUAUGCCAUUUGCAAUAGGUAGAUGGCAAGCUAAGCUUCUGGCCGUCCUUAAGAUUCUCAGCCAAUCAUUUAAGAUAUGCUUGGAAAUAUUAUGCUCUCACUAUAGCGUAGUACGUCCAAAAAGGUUUGAAGAGAAGAAAUAAUUUUUGUUUACCUAAUUUUAAGUAACAAACAAAGCUCAUAAUUGACGAAGACUAGUUGGAUAGAUGCAAACCAAAACUUGAAAUAUAUAAGAUAUGAAAUAUAAUGAUACAAAUAGAGAAAAAAAUCAACAAAAACAAACAAAAUCAGGGCCGGCAGGGAGGCGAAAACAUUUAUGUUUCAUUCAAAUGGCCGGUGUACCAUUUUAUUUUAUUUCUUCAUAAAUCCAAUUAUGAUGAUUGUGUGAGCAGCGAAAAAGCUCCACAAAAGAAACUGAAAUUAAGGUUGUGGAUGUGAAAGAUGGAAGGAGUUGAGCAUAGAGUUAUUAAGGUGAAUGGCAUAAACAUGCACGUAGCAGAGAAAGGGGAAGGCCCACUCAUUCUUUUCAUCCAUGGCUUCCCCGAGCUAUGGUACUCUUGGCGUCACCAGAUUGCUUCUUUGUCUUCCAAAGGUUACCGAGCUGUGGCACCCGACCUGAGAGGCUACGGUGACACGGAUGCGCCAGAUUUGGUCACCAGUUAUACCUGCUUCCAUAUAGUGGGGGAUUUGGUUCAGCUUUUAAAUAUUAUUUCCCCUAACGAACACAAAGUGUUGGUAGUAGGGCAUGACUGGGGAGCUGCCAUAGCUUGGUAUUUGUGUUUGUUUAGGCCAGACAAAGUGAAAGCUGUGUUCAACCUCAGUGUGCCCU
rnacentral:lncRNA from 1 species